GCCAGACUCCUACGGGAGGCAGCAGUGAGGAAUAUUGGUCAAUGGGCGGGAGCCUGAACCAGCCAAGUCGCGUGAGGGAUGACGGCCCUAUGGGUUGUAAACCUCUUUUGCCGGGGAGCAAAGUGCCGCACGUGUGCGGUUUGGAGAGUACCCGGAGAAAAAGCAUCGGCUAACUCCGUGCCAGCAGCCGCGGUAAUACGUAGGGGGCAAGCGUUAUCCGGAAUGACUGGGCGUAAAGGGUGCGUAGGUGGUUUGACAAGUUAGUAGCGCAACUCCGGAGCUCAACUUCGGAACUACUACUAAAACUGUUGGACUUGAGUGCAGGAGGGGCAAUCGGAAUUCCUAGUGUAGCGGUGGAAUGCGUAGAUAUUAGGAGGAACACCAGUGGCGAAGGCGGAUUGCUAGACUGUAACUGACACUGAGGCACGAAAGCGUGGGGAGCAAACAGGAUUAGAUACCCGAGUA
rnacentral:rRNA from 1 species